UAGUGUUCAAGGGCUGUGAAUUUGUUGCCU
rnacentral:piRNA from 1 species